AGAUUGGACUGGUUUAGAUGAAGAUGAAGAUGCACACGUCUGGGAAGACAACUGGGAUGAUGACAAUGUUGAAGAUGAUUUCUCCAAUCAGUUAAGAGCUGAAUUGGAAAAACAUGGAUACAAGAUGGAAACUUCAUAGUUUUUGCUGAAUAUGGAGUGGUUUAACAUUGAACUGUGGGAUAGACUAUAUUGAGAAAAGAAGAAAAGAUGGAAAAUGAGAAGACAGUUCACUAUCUACUUGGAUUUAUUAUUGUUUUUGUAUAAAAAAUAAAGUUUUUAAUCUUA